UGGUAGAAGUUAGGUUCUUUUUCUUACAGCC
rnacentral:piRNA from 1 species